rnacentral:tRNA from 1 species
GAGGUUGUAGCUCAGCGGUAGAGUGCUUGCCUAGCACGUUCAAGGAUCUGGGUUCGAUCCUCAGCACCACA